rnacentral:rRNA from 1 species
CAGCCGCCGCGGGAAUACGAAGGGUGCAAGCGUUACUCGGAAUUACUGGGCGUAAAGCAUGCGUAGGUGGUGGUUUAAGUCCGUUGUGAAAGCCCUGGGCUCAACCUGGGAAUUGCAGUGGAUACUGGGUCACUAGAGUGUGGUAGAGGAUAGUGGAAUUUCCGGUGUAGCAGUGAAAUGCGUAGAGAUCGGAAGGAACAUCUGUGGCGAAGGCGACUAUCUGGGCCAACACUGACACUGAGGCACGAAAGCGUGGGGAGCAAACAGGAUUAGAUACCCCGGUAGUCCCUGUCUCUUAUAC